UACGAAGGGGGCUAGCGUUGCUCGGAAUCACUGGGCGUAAAGCGCACGUAGGCGGCUUUUUAAGUCAGGGGUGAAAUCCUGGAGCUCAACUCCAGAACUGCCUUUGAUACUGAGAAGCUUGAGUCCGGGAGAGGUGAGUGGAACUGCGAGUGUAGAGGUGAAAUUCGUAGAUAUUAGGAAGAACACCAGUGGCGAAGGCGGCUCACUGGCCCGGUACUGACGCUCAGGUGCGAAAGCGUGGGGAGCAAACAGG
rnacentral:rRNA from 1 species